GAGAGGUUAGAGAGAGGUCGGCCGGGAAGAUUAACGGACCACCGCCGGAAUCCAUCUCCAGACGAGACUCGUACCAGGAUUGAGGGGCUAUCAAGGCCUACGCACCAUCAAAGCCUAAGAACAUUUCGCGGGGAACAACUCACGCACGGUCUGUGAAGAAGUUUGGCCGAGACCUCAACCCAAAGGCGGAGAUCCGAGGGUCAUCCGAGAACGGGACUUAAUUUAGAGAAAUCAGUAGUGUUGGACACCUCACGGGCAAAGAAACGCUAGCGAAGGGGCACGCGUCAACCAGCAAACAUUCACA